ACGAACGCUGGCGGCAUGCCUAACACAUGCAAGUCGAACGGAGCCUUCGGGCUUAGUGGCGCACGGGUGCGUAACGCGUGGGAAUCUGCCCUUUGGUUCGGAAUAACAGUUAGAAAUGACUGCUAAUACCGGAUGAUGACUUCGGUCCAAAGAUUUAUCGCCAAGGGAUGAGCCCGCGUAGGAUUAGGUAGUUGGUGGGGUAAAGGCCUACCAAGCCGACGAUCCUUAGCUGGUCUGAGAGGAUGAUCAGCCACACUGGGACUGAGACACGGCCCAGACUCCUACGGGAGGCAGCAGUGGGGAAUAUUGGACAAUGGGCGAAAGCCUGAUCCAGCAAUGCCGCGUGAGUGAUGAAGGCCUUAGGGUCGUAAAGCUCUUUUGGCGGGGACGAUAAUGACGGUACCCGCAGAAUAAGCCCCGGCUAACUUCGU
rnacentral:rRNA from 1 species